ensembl:lncRNA
UACAACAUUAACAAAAUGAAUAAUAAUGAAUUUGAAUAUAAUUAUCAUACAGGUAGAUAUGUAUUUGUUUAUGAUUGUUUGACAAAAUUAGAUUAUUAUUAUAAAGACUUUGAUAGUUUUUUAAAAAUAAAUCAGUUGGUAUCUUUUGAAGAAGGUGUAUAUAUGAAUGCGACAAAAAGUGACAAAUUUAUUGAAUACUCUUCAAUAAAGACCGAAUCAGACGCGAUGUACAAAACUGAAAAAAAAUGUACAGAUGAUACAUUUAACAAGAACAUAAAUAACGAACGUGUACUUGCAUGCAUUAUUACUAGUGAUUAUAAAUCAAAUGAGAUAAAAGGAAAAGAACGUAAAAAACAUAAAUUCAGAAUAUUAUUAUUUCAUGAUGAUAGUAUAACUAAAAACAAAAAUUUUAUUAACGUAAAAUUUAUGAUAAAUGUAAACUACUUUGAUUAUAAUAAGAUUAUUAAAAUUGAUUCUGAGUUUAUAAUACAUACGUUUGACUUUGUCCUUAUUAGUGAAAGGAAUUUAAUGAUUGCUGUGUUUAAGUAUAUGCAAAAAAAAAUAAAAGAAAAUAAGGAUGCAUAUGUAGUUGUAACGGAUUGUGAUAGGUCUAAUAUGAUCAGUACAUCUAUUGUAUAUAACAGUCCCACGAUAUCAACAUGUGAAAUAACCAAUGCUACAGAUACUGAUGCAUUCUGUGGAGAUGACACAUGGCAAUCAUUAGAACAGCAAAAAUCAAAGGAAUUACAAGAUUGGAACGAAAAUAUGAUAAAUGAUUUUGUAGACAUAAUGUUAAAUGAAUUAGAUUUUGUAAAAAAUAGUAAAAAAAAAAAUAUAAUUUCUAUUGAAUCUGAAAAAUGUUCGAAAGUGACAAAUUCGAUAAAUAAGGACCCAAUUGAAGUGGAAGACAUUACACAAAUAAAUGAAAUUUUAAAACAGCCCAUAGAUAAUACAAUUUUAACAAAAUUAAAAAGUUAUAUAAAAGAGUGUGGGUUAUUGAUUAGUGAGACAACUGAAUUAUUUGAUAAUGAUGGUAAUGUAGAGAAUAGAAAAGGGCUAUUGGAUGAUAUAAGAAAAUCGGGCGAAACUAACCAAGAGAGUGCAACCAACCGAAUUGGCGAAACAAAAAUCACACACGACUUCAAAAACAGCUACAAAAAUGUCGAUUAUAAUAAAAACACAAAUGAUGAAAAGGAUGUAAACAAAAUGAUUAAUAAAAAAAUGGAAAAAAUGAGCUGGAUACAUGAACUGGUAAGUUGUCUGACUAAUAAUAUAGAUUAUAAUUUUGUUGAAUUUGUAAAGAAAAAUAAAUUGGAGUUAAGUUAUGAUUUUACAAACACAACACAGUUUGUGAAGGGAAAGACAGAUAUAGAAAACAGUAACAACCAAAAUGAAAGGUAUGAAAAGAAGAAAUGUGAAAGUGUUUGCAAUGUAGAUAAAAAGUAUUACUACGAGUUAAGUGAAAAUAAAGAUAUAAUAUAUAUAAUAAUAAAUAACAAAAAUAAAUACGAUUUGGAUAUAUAUAUAAAUUCUACUAUUGAAUCGGAGGAAAGUGUAACUUAUAUGUUCAAUAGUUGUAUAAAUAGCUUAAUUAAAGAAAAGAAAUGGGAUGGAGUUGAGAAUUUUGUUAAAGAAUAUAAAAAACUGUAUUACGAUUUGAAUAAAAAACAAUUUAAUAUGCCAGAUUUUGAUAAAAUAGAAAAUUUUAAUUGGUCGAAAUUGAAACAUUUAUAUUUUAAAUAUAAAAAUAAAGGAAUAGAUAAUUAUUAUAAUUAUUUAUAUAAAAUAGUAACCGAAAAAAGUGAAUAUUGUUUAGGUUUAAAAAAACAUUUUUAUUUGGAUUUUUUUUUAUUUGAAUAUAUGGUUAGUUCAAUGAAAAGUGCAUUUAUUAAAGUUUUUUUGUAUGCAGAUAAUAUUAACAUAUAUCAAGAUAUGAUUAGUUUCGAUUUAAAUAAGAGUGAACGUGUAUGUAAUUUGUCUGUUAGUUCAUAUAUAAAAUCGUUGCAUUUAGUUAGUCAACAUAAGGUUAUGCAAAAUGGUAGCAAAUGUAUUUAUAUUAAUUUGAUUUUUGUAAAUAAAAAGAUAUUAAAAAAUUAUAAACAGUUGAUAAAAAACCAAGAUGAUCGAUCAGGUAGUACUAAUAAAGAUGGCACAGUUGAAACAGAUUCCGAAGUCGAAAAAGUAUAUAAAUGCUUUGAUGCGGUACUUAAACCUUAUGAAUUUAUUUUAUUCAACUCUUGCGAAAUAAAAAAAAAAUUAAUUUUUAACUUUCAUAAAAUCGCUUAUUUUUUAAAUA